ACCUUCAUGGGAAAAGUGCUCUAACCUCUACUCCAGCAGAGAGAAGUUUCAUGGUCAUUUGCUUUCUUUUUUUCAAAGACUACUGAAGGUUCUCCUCAUGUGUUUGAGGAUCCUCGGGUGUCCAGUAUUCAAGACCCUAAAAGGCUGAUUGGAAGCUCUAGAAUUUCCUGAUGGUUCCUCAGAAGAAACUAACCCUGACGACACCUUGAUCUUGAACUUCUAGCCUCAAGGAGUAUGAGACAGUAAAUUUCUGUUGGGUAUGUGGGAACAGAAGACUAAUCUUUGCCAGGUUGUAAAGACAUGUGCAUAAAUAGCUUUUCCCCUCCAGCCUUGGGCUUAAAUAUUAAAGAUGACAACCCUUACUAUUGUUAGAAACUGCGAGUAAAAGAAAAUUCUCAUUGUGUGUACUCAAGCAAAAUGACUUCAUCAAUUUCUCCUUGACUUACACAAAGGGAAUUCGAAGUUAAAGUUCAUGCUUUAGAAGGCAUUAUGUAGGAGACUUUCUUUCCUCUCACAUUGCACAUCAAACUGACUUUUUAUUCAACUGUGAAUGAUAUUGGGAUAAUUAAGAUAAGCCUCUGAAACACUGUAUGAAGACAAACAGAAAUUCCACUUACAUAAUUAAAAGAGAAAUUUUCACAGUGUUUAUUGUCAACGAAAGCCUUACACAAUCCUAUGUCAUUACAAGUAAAUUAAUGGCAGGCAUUAUGUCUAUAUGGCACUUUCAAUUCACCCAUUUCCCAUAAUACAGAAUAAAUUGGUUCAUCUUAACAGAACAAAACAAAAAACAAAGGGAGCUUAAUUGCAGGUGUCCUCUUUUAGGAAUGAUAUCCUUUUAGUUGCAACUUGUAGUAAAAUUAGAGGGUGCUGGGCUUGUUUUGUUUUUUCCUGCUUCUUUAAAGGUUAUUU